GUGCUCAUUUUGGCAGCACAUGGACUAAACUUGGAAUAAUACCAAGAAGAUUAGCACAGCCUGUGUGCAAGGAUGACAUGCAAACUUGUGAAGUGUUAAAAAAAUCA